UCCUUGCUAAAGAAUUGCAUUGGAGACCCAGCAGUUUCCUUUCCUUUAGAAAGCGUAAAUAUUCAAAAUGAUCUUUCUUUCGAUGAGGUCCCAGUCCAAAUCCUUGAUCGUCAGAUUCACAGACUAAGAAACAAAGAAGUUCCCUUGGGCAAAGUUCUUCGGCAGAAUUAGUCCGCUGAGGGAGCUACUUGGGAAGCAGAAGCAGAUAUGCAGACCAAGUAUCCUUACCUCUUCUCCGCAAAGUCAGAUUCAGCUUAAGGUAACAAUCUUCUUAGAAUUUAUCUUUUUCCAUGCUCAGUUUCAGCUUCAUAUCAUUCUCAUGUCAGUCAUACAUUCACGGAACCAUUCCAGUCUUGUGUCAUGAAUCAGCUCAGUCAUGUAAUCAUGCUUCAG
rnacentral:lncRNA from 1 species